CGAGCGGUAACAUGAUUUGUAGCAAUACAAAUUGAUGACGAGCGGCGGACGGGUGAGGAACACGUAGGAAUUUACCCUCAAGCGGGGGACAACCAAUGGAAACGUUGGCUAAUACCGCAUAAUCUCGAGAGAGCAAAGCUGCUCGUAAGGGUGGCACUUGAGGAGGAGCCUGCGUCCGAUUAGCUAGUUGGUGAGGUAAGAGCUCACCAAGGCGAUGAUCGGUAACUGGUCUGAGAGGACGACCAGUCACACUGGGACUGAGACACGGCCCAGACUCCUACGGGAGGCAGCAGUGGGGAAUCUUGGACAAUGGGGGCAACCCUGAUCCAGCGAUGCCGCGUGAGUGAAGAAGGCCUUCGGGUCGUAAAGCUCUUUAGGUUGGGACGAAGUGUGCGGGAGGAAAUGCCCGUAUGUUGACGGUACCGACAGAAUAAGCACCGGCAAACUCUGUGCCAGCAGCCGCGGUAAUACAGAGGGUGCAAGCGUUAAUCGGAGUUACUGGGCGUAAAGGGCGCGUAGGCGGUAAGGAGGGUGUGAUGUGAAAGCCCCGGGCUUAACCUGGGAAGUGCAUCGCAAACUAACUAACUAGAGUAGAUGAGAGGGUGGCGGAAUUUCCGGUGUAGCGGUGAA
rnacentral:rRNA from 1 species